rnacentral:rRNA from 1 species
AUUGAACGCUGGCGGCAGGCCUAACACAUGCAAGUCGAGCGGAUGAAGGGAGCUUGCUCCUGGAUUCAGCGGCGGACGGGUGAGUAAUGCCUAGGAAUCUGCCUGGUAGUGGGGGAUAACGUCCGGAAACGGGCGCUAAUACCGCAUACGUCCUGAGGGAGAAAGUGGGGGAUCUUCGGACCUCACGCUAUCAGAUGAGCCUAGGUCGGAUUUGCUAGUUGGUGGGGUAAAGGCCUACCAAGGCGACGAUCCGUAACUGGUCUGAGAGGAUGAUCAGUCACACUGGAACUGAGACACGGUCCAGACUCCUACGGGAGGAAGCAGAGGGGAAUAUUGGACAAUGGGCGAAAGCCUGAUACAGCCAUGCCGCGUGUGUGAAGAAGGUCUUCGGAUUGUAAAGCACUUUAAGUUGGGAGGAAGGGCAGUAAGUUAAUACCUAGCUGUUUUGACGUUACCAACAGAAUAAGCACCGGCUAACUUCGUG